GGGGGAUGAGGUGGGACAUCAGGUCUCUGACUUUUAAUCAGGGUGUCGCAGGUUCGAGCCCUGCACGGCCUACCA
rnacentral:tRNA from 1 species